CAGCCUGCUUACCAAGGAAGCCGCCCACUAUCCUCCCAUCUCCAGCAAGUUAUUCAGCCAGCAGGCCCUUGGUGUUUGAUGAGCAUUGCCAGCGAUGAAAGUUGUAGUAUUACUUAGCAUCAGCAGAUUAGCGUGCAGCCGUAAAAAACGAAACACUUUAUUGGACAGUAAUCCAUCAGCGAGCAAGAUGGCAAUGGAUUUUGAAAGGACAACAGCAACCAAAAUUCUUCAGUUGAUUCCUGAUGCUGUGUCGAAACACCAUGAGUACGUACAGGUAGUCUACAGAACAUAACGUAGCACCAUACGUGCUGGAAAUACACACUGUUCUUCCAUUGAUCAUAAUGUUUGUGGCACAGUCGCCUCACUAGGAUGAAACAUCUGUGACAAAAGCUUCAAGGACUUGGACUGUUUUCAGUUUUUCUGCACCAUUUUGGCACCAACCAUGACUAGAUGUCAAACGAGGCACACAUUGAGCUGUGGGUGUGAUGAGUUGUGUAAUGGAUGCAGCAACCAGCCGUUCCUGAGACUAAUGACAGGAGACAAGCCCAGAGGGUGUUCUGCGAACUUCCCCCUUUGACAAGACUGCUGGAAACAGGUUACACUCCAAUCAUCAACCUGGUUCAUCUCAUCAGGCUCUGCCUGGCAUCAUCAUGUGGAACAUUUCACAGAGAGAUACCGACUAUAGAAUAAACACAUUAUUCAUUUCUCCAAUGGGGUCGACCAUGGACUUCCUCCAUUCAAGAGACAGCUGGAGACAGGUUUUACCCCAAUCACGGACUCAGUUCUGUCAUCUCGUCAGGCUCUGCUUGCAUCAUCAUGUGGAACUUUUGCUGAUGUAUCUCUCAGGACAUUGCACAGGACAUGAGUUACUGACUAUAGAAACAAACUGUUGGUACAUUUGUGGAUGGUGAGCCUGGAGCAUAGUCUACAAGGCUACUCGUGUCAAAUUCAAAUGCUGUUGGUAGACUCUGUGACUCACCCUGCCAUGAAUCACUGAAACCGCUCAGGAGUGCUUCUGAUUCAUUGUGAACUCUGUGGAUAUGCUUCCCAUCUGAACAUUUUACAGACUGAACCAUACGUGCAUGUGCACUCCAAGAAGCUACAAGCUAAUCCUGCAAGAAGUGUACUUCAGCCCUGGAUAUCUUGACUUUGCAAUGGAUUGUGUACCAGAGUGCUCCAAUAUUGACUGAAAUUGCCAAGGACUUGAACGGCUGAUGCACAAUUUAACUUGAAAGUCGCAGAGAACCAAGUUUAGAAAAUUGGGUUGGGAUAUAAUCAGUGGCGUAGCUCUUUUUUUCCUUCAUGGAAGUAAAAACUAUUAGCGCUCAAAACUCAAUAUUUAACCAUUUCGGAUAGAAAUGUCUUGAAUGUAAGCCUCUAGUUCCAUCUAGAAAAAAAUUCAAAGUUGACCAAACCAAGAUCUUGUUGAUUUUUUUUUUGAAAAGGAGUCAUCACAAAAAAAAUUGUUUUUUUUUCAGUGGCUAGGUUCACGUUGGAUGUCACUUGUGAUACAUGGUGAGAAUCAAUCAUUCUUGGUUCGCAUUAAGUUUCCACCUUACAAUGUGUGUAGUUGGCAUUUUGCAUUCUCAUCUUUGUAAUCAAAGCUACGCCACUGAAAAAAAAGGGUUGAGGGUGGGAAUCGGGUGAGAGUAACAAGUCCAUUUUGAUGACGGAGCUCUUAAAGGUCGUAGCUACUUUUUUGUCAGCAAAGUGGUCUAAAACGUAUUCAUCUAAGAUCAAGAGGUACACAGGCAGACAAAAAUUGUCAAUCACUUUUGAAUGGUUUAACUGUUCAAGGACCUUUUAAUAGGGGUGUAAAAUAUCAGCUUUUUAGCUGAUUUCGGCAUUUUUGUUUUGGAUUUCAGCAUUUUUCCUCACUUGCUGUGUACAGAAGUAUAGGAGAUUUCCACAGUUCAUCAUUUUAUGCCUUUUUCAGCUGUUUACAGCUUCUUUUUUUAUCAUCGGUCACUCACACUCCUGUACUAAGCUGACAAUUGCAAAUGGGUGAAACAUCAAGGCAUCUAAUAUUGUUUUCAGCUCUUCGUCAGAAUGGACUUGAACAUUUGUAACCAGUCCUCACGUGUAGCCAGUCUAUAAAGAUUGAAGAUAAAAGGCAAUAUAUUCAAAAAGGAUAACCAAGAGAAAGUCGGUACUAUUUUCUGAAAUUCAACCUUUGAAACUCGGAACAUCUUGUAAUUGUGCAUAGAGAAUCAAUGAGUAUUGACAGCAAUACAAAAUCAUGUUAUUUUGGCUUAUUGCUUGGGGUUCAAAAGCAUGUCAUUUUUGCUCAAAUAUACCUUGUUUUAAUUUUAUCCAAAACAGCAAAGCACUUUUUUUUUAAUCGUGAGGGAAAGUUCAUCUGAUCCGAAAAAAUGCACACUUUUCGUUGAUGUGUAUUUCAAGUUUGACUGCAAGCGCACUUUUCUCACUGAAAAAUGUACAUGUCAUAUAAUGCAUUAUAAUGUGAGGGCUGGUUACAUCAUUUAUUUACAUGUAAUUUGAUUUUAAAUUCAGUGCCUGAAUGGUAAAUGCUUUAAAGCCAGGUGCAUGAUGGGUAAUUGACGUCACUUCCAAGUGAACACACUUAAGACAAAAUAUUUUCCUAUUGAAAGUCUCUUGAAAUUGAAGAUUUUUUCGUUUUUUCCCCUGAAAUGGCGAUACGUUCAAUUUUAACUCAAGCAUUGAAAUCACCUUAAAAAAUUUAAAAUAAUUGAAAAAAAUCAAAGUAAUUUGCUUCUUUGGACAACAAAAAGUCAGUUUGUGAAUCCUAUUGCGGUCAGUUUAAGACAUUUGCUAGGUCAGUGCAAAGUACGUCUUUUGUUGGUGUUAAAUUUUAUUUGGCUAAAUGUACUACAAAAAAAGUACAUGUAAUCUUCAUAUUAAAGUUUUUACCCAUCUUGCACCUGGUUUGAAAUGUACGUGUAUUAUCAGCCCUGAUGCUCAGGAAUUUGAAUUAGAGUUCAAAAAGUCUAAUGCUGAAAACAGCUGAUCGCAUUUGGAAACAGUGUACAAGAAAUGUAAGAUUUCCAUCAGAUCAUUCAACCCAUGCAAAACAAGCAUGGCUAUAUAUUAAUCACAGGCUGCUACAUGGAGUUUGAAAAACUUGGCGUGUCUUUUGCUUUAAUACUGCAUUGAUGAGUUCAAUUUUGGUGAUUUUGCCGCGUUGAAACUUUUCUUCAUUUAAAAUCAAAAGUUUAAAAAUAUAGUAUUCUGGUCAAAGUAAGCGCAGGCACAAUUGUAUCUCAGUGCUGAUUAUACAUGUACUUGCAACAUUUAUUUUGGAAAAAUCAAUUGAUUAACCUUUUUUGCAUUAUUGUCUUUUACCAUCAGGCACUGUAAAUAAAAACCAAUAAAGCCCAGCCACAUGCAGGCCCUCCUGGUGCGUGCACGUGUGUCCCCUGCCCGCAGACGCUGACAGGUUGGUGGUUGCCCGCUAUCUGCAUCGGCUUGUGAAUUGACUGUUGGUGAUGUAUGCAGCUCCCUCGAAAUCUUGCACCCUGGGUGAUUGUGGAUACCUCGGAAGACUGCAACAUGGUAAGGAUCCUUUAAACUUUGGCAAUUGGUUAGUUUGUCUACAAA